GGGAAAGGUUUUUCCGGUAUGGGAUGGGGUCGCGUCCUAUCAGGUAGUCGGCGGGGUGAUGGCCCACCGAGCCUAUGACGGGUAGCCGGCCUGAGAGGGCGACCGGCCACAUUGGGACUGAGAUACGGCCCAGACUCCUACGGGAGGCAGCAGUGGGGAAUAUUGCACAAUGGGCGCAAGCCUGAUGCAGCGACGCCGCGUGCGGGAUGGAGGCCUUCGGGUUGUAAACCGCUUUUAUCGGGGAGCAAGCGAGAGUGAGUGUACCCGUUGAAUAAGCACCGGCUAACUACGUGCCAGCAGCCGCGGUAAUACGUAGGGUGCAAGCGUUAUCCGGAAUUAUUGGGCGUAAAGAGCUCGUAGGCGGUUCGUCGCGUCUGGUGUGAAAGCCCAUCGCUUAACGGUGGGUCUGCGCCGGGUACGGGCGGGCUGGAGUGCGGUAGGGGAGACUGGAAUUCCCGGUGUAACGGUGGAAUGUGUAGAUAUCGGGAGGAACACCAAUGGCGAAGGCAGGUCUCUGGGCCGUUACUGACGCUGAGGAGCGAAAGCGUGGGGAGCGAACAGGAUUAGAUACCCUGGUAGUCCACGCCGUAAACGGUGGAUGCUGGAUGUGGGGCACGUUCCACGUGUUCCGUGUCGGAGCCAACGCGUUAAGCAUCCCGCCUGGGGAGUACGGCCGCAAGGCUAAAACUCAAAGAAAUUGACGGGGGCCCGCACAAGCGGCGGAGCAUGCGGAUUAAUUCGAUGCAACGCGAAGAACCUUACCUGGGCUUGACAUGUUCCCGACGACCGCGGAGACGUGGUUUCCCUUCGGGGCGGGUUCACAGGUGGUGCAUGGUCGUCGUCAGCUCGUGUCGUGAGAUGUUGGGUUAAGUCCCGCAACGAGCGCAACCCUCGCCUUGUGUUGCCAGCGGUUCGGCCGGGAACUCACAAGGGACCGCCGGGGUCAACUCGGAGGAAGGUGGGGAUGACGUCAGAUCAUCAUGCCCCUUACGUCCAGGGCUUCACGCAUGCUACAAUGGCCGGUACAACGGGAUGCGACA
rnacentral:rRNA from 1 species